GCUCCGAUAGCUCAGUCGGUGAGAGCGGGACCCUUAUAAGGUCCAGGGCGAGGGUUCAAGUCCCUCUCGGAGUA
rnacentral:tRNA from 2 species